rnacentral:lncRNA from 1 species
GGGAGCUCUUCUGGGCGGGCUCCUGCGCGUGCGCACACGUGAGCACCCCCCCCCCCAUGGUCCUGCCCGUUCCUCCUCCCCACCCCAGCUCCCACUGCCUGCCUGCCUGGCCCCCCACACUCAUCCGUGGGGGAGGAUUUUUCCAGGCAAGCUAUGAAGACCCCGGAGUGUGCUGGUAGGCUCCCCCUCACACCCGGGGGACAGGCUCCGUCCUCGCCUGAGCGGUCACCCCAGGAAAGCCGGGCGGAAAGCCGUCCAGCAGCGUGAUCUGCGGGCCCACCCCACUGAGAGGGAGGGGCCAGGAGCACAGACCUCCACAAACCCUCGUCCUGGACAAGCCUUUAGGAGCCACUGGGAUUGGGACCGAGCCAAGGCAGAGGAGCUGACUAAGGCCCAUCCUCCACGGACCUUCUGUGAAAGAUCAACAUCGCGGGAGGGAGGCCACAGCUCAGUUCCCGCACUGGGCCCUACAGACCAGGCUAAAAACCAACAUGGAGUCACUCGUGGUGGGCAAGGGCCAUGACAGGUGCCCAGAGAUGAUCUCGGCGAGGGAGACAGCUAGAAGGACGGAGAGCUAUUGCCAGCCUGUCAGGAAGCCUCACAGUCAGACAACGGCUGCCCAGCACGCCUGUCCGUCGACAGCCAGCGCCGCAGUUCCAAGGCCACAGCUAACCAGGAGACUGAGGCCGGAGGAGCCCUGGAACCCAGGAGCCGGGGCCAGCACGGGCAAUGUCCUGAGACCUCAUUUCAAAAACAACACGAACUGCCCAUAAGUUGAAUGGACCAAUUAGAUGUGGCAUGGCCAUGGGGUGGGAUAUUCUCCUACCAUAGAAAGAAGGAAGUCCUGCCGUGAGCUGCAGGAUGGAUGAACCUUCAUUCCUGAUGCUCAGAGAACAAAGGCAGACACAAACAAACGUGUAUAUGAUUCUCUUCAUACAAAGGGUUCAGCAGAGGCCAGCCUGUAGAGACACAAAGAAGAUCAGUAGUCAGGGCUGGGGAAAGCACUUGUUGGGGGAAAUGCUGACCACUA